rnacentral:lncRNA from 1 species
CGCCACACCAGUGUAGAAUUUUAAGGCUUCCCUCUUUUCUCCCCCCUCCCUUUCUUUUCCACCCAGGCCAUGUGGGCCACACUGAAGAAAGGCCCUAAGGCUAGGGGGUCCUUCACUUACUAGUCUAGUGUGAGCCCUAGGCCUUCCCCCCGCUCGCUCAGAUGCGCUCCUCCUUACUUAGACUUAGCUUAGCUGGCUGCCCGGAGCAUCGUAACUUCUUCCUUAUUCAAAAAAAUUGAAUCCUCUGUGUCAAUCUGUGGAUUUCUUUCUUAUCCAUGAUAU